GUGCUCGCUUCAGCGGCACAAAUACUAAAAUCGGGACAAUUCAGAGAAGAUUGGCACAGCCCCUGCAUGAGGAUGACAUCAUCUGUGAAGCAUCCCGUGUUUUC